ACUUCCUUGAAGACACCUGCCAUGAACUCUUUCUCCAGCAGCGCUGAGGAGUGCGACAUUCAGGAAAUGGCAAUGCGGCAGUAAGGAAGGAAUCUGUGCCCUUUAAUGACCUAGAGGAGUAGAUCCACUUCGCCACCUGGACCGGCCAGACUAAUGUGGCCCGGACUCUCAGCUGGACUGACAGGCAAAAUAUCUGUGUCCGUGUACGUUAUUCAUCUGUCACUGGGUCAAGGUCUCCGGGACAGACCCCCUACAGCUGGCGCUCCGUGUGAGGAAUGCUGCGAAGGAUCACGACGGACCCCCCAAAAUGAAGGUGAAAAGGACCGCAGAGUCAGUGAGUCAGAUACAAAGCUGGAAUAAGAGGAAUGACCACUUCGUCUGACAGACCUGUUGCUGCACACAUCUGUACCCUUCGGUCAACAGAACCCGAUGCAAAGAACAGAAAAGGGAGAGAUGUGGGAGUUCAGACAGGCUGGUGGCGUGUCCAGAAUUUAUUCCUUCCGGCCUAUAUCACCCAAACCUGAAAAGGGAAAGAAGGAUGUGAAGAAAAUAAUAUAGGAGGAAGAAGAAUGAAGAAACAGCGGGCAAGAAAAAGAAGAAGACUAGAAAGAGAAGAUGAAGCAGGAUAAAGUGGAGGAGAAAUAGCUUUACUGAAUGGAAGUAUGUCUGUUACUUCUGCUCUUCCAACAACAACAACAACAACAAAAAGCCCAAGGAUGCUGCUAAAUAUCUUAAAAGGUACAAGCAAAUAGUUAUGAUAGUUUUA
rnacentral:lncRNA from 1 species